UACGUAGGGGGCAAGCGUUAUCCGGAUUUACUGGGUGUAAAGGGAGCGUAGACGGCGGUGCAAGCCAGAUGUGAAAGCCCGGGGCUCAACCCCGGAACUGCUUUGGAAACUGUGCGGCUCGAGUGCGGGAGAGGUAGGCGGAAUUCCUAGUGUAGCGGUGAAAUGCGUAGAUAUUAGGAGGAACACCAGUGGCGAAGGCGGCUUACUGGACCGUAACUGACGUUGAGGCUCGAAAGCGUGGGGAGCAAAAAGG
rnacentral:rRNA from 1 species